rnacentral:lncRNA from 1 species
AAGAAUGAGAGUUAUGAUCAACUCAGUAUACCACUGGAGGCUACAGGAGCAAACAGCAAACUGUUUCUCAUGAAAGCAGGAUGUUCAAAGCAGGAUGUUGGCAAAAUGACAAACUGCAUCUGCCACCCAGAAGGAAUGCUGAGGGCAGUCAUGCCCCAAGUGCAGUGUUUUUGUGAUUAGGCACAACUGAAGCUUGUUAGCAAUAAUAUGACCCUGUGAUUAAUUGAGCGGCUGACCAAUCAUUACCUCCUCCUCCCUGCUCUUUCUACCCAAUAAAUACAAAGGGCUGUGGAAGCUCAAUGGGCUGCCUUUGCUCAUUAGAAGCAGGGAGCUCUCUUCUUCUUCCCCUGGAUCCUUCCUUUAAAAUAGUUUCUUUUGUCUUAAGUUUUCAUUUCUACGUUUGUCCCUUCAUUCAGUCUCUUAAAUGACGGUCUCAAGCAGUAACAGUAGUAAUUGCUGUAAUGACGGUCUCAAGUAGUAACCAGGGCACUCUGCCACAAGUGGCACCUGAACAGGGACUAACAGGGACUAUCAAGAACAAACGGAGACCUGAAGAGACCUGAAGGGAACUGAAGAGGUCUGCAGGGACAAAUAGAGAUAAGUAGGGAUAAAUAGAGAUAAAUAGAGACAAAUAGAGAUAGGUAAGGAAUGACAGGGACUUGCAGGAAGUAACAGGGACCAUAGGGACAGAUAGGGAUAGAUAAAGACUAGCAAAGACUAGCCGAGAUUAGCAAAGACCAGCAAGGACUAGCAGAGACUAGCAAAGACUAGCAGAAACUUGCAGGGACAGGCAGAGACAGAUAGGGACAGAUAGGGUCCUACAGGGACUUGAACGAGGAAGAUCUGCUGGAAAAGAAAAGAACUACAACCAACCAGAUGAACAAGAAACCCUGUUACAAGUCUGCUGGCAGCAACAUAAGGAAAUGAACAAAAAGUGUGGGUGCCCCCAAGGUGUGUACUACCAUGGAAUGGGAGAUUGGAGGGACACAUGGAUCCCAACCGUGGGCCUGGUUCCCCCAGUAUGAGCUGAAUACGAAGACAGAACAAACCACCAACCGGCAAUUGAAGUAAAUGAUAGCUCCUUACAAAUACAGAGGACAAAAUAAAAGUGACUUAAUUAUAAAAACACAGUGACACAAAGUGAACCGGGUUCUAUAAAUUACCAUGGAAAGUGGUGAGCCAACGAUUUGGCAGAACAAAACCCUGAGGAUAUGCAAACAAAAGGGACUAUGGAAUUUGCAAUUGCAGAUUAAAAUUGAAGAAGAAAACAUUUGAGUUGCAAAUACCGUAUUAAAAGUGGACACUGCUUAUGACUGCUGUAUGCAACAGUUUUUCAGGCCCGAGGUGAUAAAUAAAAAAUUGUUUGCUCUAUUUAA